rnacentral:rRNA from 1 species
CCCCCCAGCAAGAACAUAAGUAUUGGGGGUAAUGCCUGCCCAGUGACACUGUUAAACGGCCGCGGUAUCCUAACCGUGCAAAGGUAGCGUAAUCACUUGUCUUUUAAAUAAAGACUAGAAUGAAUGGCCAAACGAGGCUCUACCUGUCUCUUACAAAUAAUCAGUGAAAUUGAUCUUCCCGUGCAAAAGCGGGGAUAACACUAUAAGACGAGAAGACCCUGUGGAACUUCAAAUAUAAAAUCAACUAUCACCAACACCCACCCACGGGCCUUAUACCAAAUAGCACCUGAUUUUUAUUUUCGGUUGGGGCGACCUCGGAACAAAACAAAACUCCGAAAAAUAAAAAACCCUUUAAACCUAGAACAACAGUUCAAAGUGCUUCCGGCAAAACGAUCCAAUACACUUGAUCAACGAACCAAGCUACCCCAGGGAUAACAGCGCAAUCCCAUCCUAGAGUCCCUAUCGACGAUGGGGUUUACGACCUCGAUGUUGGAUCAGGACAUCCUAAUGGUGUAGCCGCUAUUAAGGGUUCGUUUGUUCAACGAUU